AAAUUUAAAGGUUGUUGCAGUUAAAAAGCUCGUAGUUGGAUUUGUGGCGGUUCCUGUGGUCCGAUUUCGGUACUUUCGGGGACUGCCAUCCUUGGGUGGAUCCUGUGUGGCAUUAGGUUGUCGUGCAGGGGAUGCCCAUCGUUUACUGUGAAAAAAUUAGAGUGUUCAAAGCAGGCUUAUGCCGUUGAAUAUAUUAGCAUGGAAUAAUGAGAUAGGACCUUGGUACUAUUUUGUUGGUUUGCGCACCGAGGUAAUGAUUAAUAGGGACAGUUGUGGGUAUUCGUAUUCCAUUGUCAGAGGUGAAAUUCUUGGAUUUCUGGAAGACGAACUAAUGCGAAAGCAUUUACCAAGGAUGUUUUCAUUAAUCAAGAACGAAAGUUAGGGGAUCGAAGAUGAUUAGAUACCAUCGUAGUCGUCAUAGCUGGUUUCCUGAUGAGA
rnacentral:rRNA from 1 species